GAGCCUAAAUCAACAUUUACUAGCAGUGUUCCCGCCUGCAAUAACAAAAUGUUCAAAUUCUAGGGGACUCUAAUAACAAUCAGCAAAAUCAGAAUGAAUCGUUACUGUUCUUGCAAGUGAACAAAAGGAAAGCUCUGUAGGUGUUGUAACCGUGUUGCAGCAAGCAAGCAUUCUGCUAAGUCAAAAUCUGGAAUCCUAAAGACCUUCAAGAGCAUGUCAAGCGCCCAAAAAAUUAAUAGCUUAACAAGUAAGUUGAUUACAAAGAUAGCAUUUUCUGCAAGGGAUCCAUAAUCAAAGCACUAAAUAAAUAUAAUAAAAUUACUAUGGGAUGAUCUUACAAAACAACAGAUCAUUUGGAUAGAACUAGUGAAGACAAGAAUUUCAAGGGUCCUGGGUAUCUGAUUGAAGAUUCAAUAAUUGGGAAACUACAAGCUUAGAGAGCUCAUUGAUUGUGGCUUGAACAUGGUAAUCAUCUGAUUGCCUAGAACAUCCAGGUAGUUGUGAGUUUGACCUAGUGUACUCAUUUGCAGCUACCCUUGUCUUAGUUGAUGUGGUAAGAACUUUCUCCAAAUCUGACUGAAACAAAGGCCUUGAUGAACCACAUUGUUUCCCCUUCUUCUCCUCAUCCAGUAGG
rnacentral:misc_RNA from 1 species